ACCGGGAUUGCCUUAGUAACGGCGAGUGAAGCGGCAAAAGCUCAAAUUUGAAAUCUGGUACCUUCGGUGCCCGAGUUGUAAUUUGGAGAGGGCAACUUUGGGGCCGUUCCUUGUCUAUGUUCCUUGGAACAGGACGUCAUAGAGGGUGAGAAUCCCGUGUGGCGAGGAGUGCGGUUCUUUGUAAAGUGCCUUCGAAGAGUCGAGUUGUUUGGGAAUGCAGCUCUAAGUGGGUGGUAAAUUCCAUCUAAAGCUAAAUAUUGGCGAGAGACCGAUAGCGAACAAGUACAGUGAUGGAAAGAUGAAAAGAACUUUGAAAAGAGAGUGAAAAAGUACGUGAAAUUGUUGAAAGGGAAGGGCAUUUGAUCAGACAUGGUGUUUUGUGCCCUCUGCUCCUUGUGGGUAGGGGAAUCUCGCAUUUCACUGGGCCAGCAUCAGUUUUGGUGGCAGGAUAAAUCCAUAGGAAUGUAGCUUGCCUCGGUAAGUAUUAUAGCCUGUGGGAAUACUGCCAGCUGGGACUGAGGACUGCGACGUAAGUCAAGGA
rnacentral:rRNA from 1 species